GGGGUUGACUUGGUUUUGACAGCAAGUCGAUGAUUUGUGUAAGCAUGUCGAGUAAUGAAGUGUCAACUCGUAAAAAAGUCAUUUCAUAUUUUGCAACUGGCGAUAACAAUUACGCGCUUGCCGCCUAAUCGAGCGAUAGCCGAUUAGAGCUUAUCUCACACUAGGUGUGGGAGCAUGCCAUCCCACGAAAUCCCUGACCUAUGGAGUUCGAUUUUGGGGUGCCAGAAAAAUAGGAAUAAGAAAAAAGUAGCUGCGGCUUUUUUCCGAAAUUUAGCAGAUAAGCAAUAUGUAGGCUGUGCAUUGCCGGCAUAUUGACGAAAAUCAAGAAUGUAAUAAACAUGUAGAAAACACCUUUCACGUUUGUUUGGACGCGGGUUCGAAUCCCGCCAACUCCACCA
rnacentral:tmRNA from 1 species